rnacentral:lncRNA from 1 species
AGAAAUACACAAGUGAGUCGACGAACAACAUCACUUGAUAAACUUGUCCGCAUCCUCCAAUUUCAGAUGGAAUUAGUAUUAAUCGCAUAUUCUCAUUGAGAACAAGAGAACAAUACAAAUUUUAACCAGAAUCAUUCUUGGAAGCUUGGCGACUUGGAAGAUUUAGGGAUUUUAGGGUUUGCGGUAUUGAACUUAGAUCUGAAAUUCGAGAAACUUGGUGAUUGUUUGAAGGAAAUGAGUUAGAGAUUUGGGAUGAGGGGAUAGAGGGGAUUGUGUGAUGUUAUUUGGGGUAACUUGGAGGUUGCGCCAUUGUCGGAGACGGUGAGGAUUAUAAGGCGGCGCUAGGGUUCAUGUUCAAAGGGUCUGAGAGAGAUAGAGGAAACUGAAACAGG